rnacentral:rRNA from 1 species
GACGAACGCUGGCGGCGUGCUUAACACAUGCAAGUCGAACGGGGCUCAUCGCCUUUGGUGGUGGGUCUAGUGGCGAACGGGUGAGUAACACGUGGGCAACCUGCCCCUGGCUCUGGGAUAACUCCAAGAAAUUGGGGCUAAUACCGGAUAGUCACUGCUGGCCGCAUGGUUGGUGGUGGAAAGUUUUUUCGGCUGGGGAUGGGCCCGCGGCCUAUCAGCUUGUUGGUGGGGUGAUGGCCUACCAAGGCGACGACGGGUAGCCGGCCUGAGAGGGUGA